AGAUGGUCCAGAGACACGACCACUUCCAGCUUGGAGUUCUACUCAUUGGAGAAAGUAAUCCCAUGGGCAGAUUGUGGAACCUCUCCUCCCUCUCUCACUCACAGAUGACAGUGAGUAGCCCGUGAACUUCAGUGAACAAACGCAGCCCCAUCGAUAGAACUCUGGAAAUCUGUAGAGUCCACAUCUACUAAUGGCUACUCUAGCCUUCAGCGAAUGCUAUUGAGCAUCUUAUAUAAGCUGUGAACAGGGGAGACUGUGAUGCAGCAUGGCCAGUUAGCCUCCUACUCCUGCC